rnacentral:lncRNA from 1 species
AUAAUCAUUUAAUUCAAUGUCGUUCUCUGUAUACUUGACCCCGGUACACUAGAGAUGGAAGGAUGCGUCCCAAGUAUUUUUAAUGGAUGUUGAAUAUGCCGGCACUGAUAUUAUCCAGCUAGAUUUAAGACAACAAGCCUAAGGACUCUUUAACUAUGCUAUUUUCGGAUACAUAAAAUGCUUGCUGCAAUGGAAGCAUUAUGAGCUUAGAGCUUGAGUAUCUAUCUAUUCGUCACUGUCAGUUUUCUCCCUGGUUCAAAACGAGGAUAUGUGCUAGCAUAAACAUUAGUGCUUAGAUUGAGGAGUACAUGUAUGGAAAAAAGGUGUGUAGGUAUGGGGGCUGGUUGUUUUUUUAUCUCUCUAUAUUUUCUAAUUUCUAAGUAAUUUCAUUCAUUUAUGAAUAAUGUUCGAAGCCGCAAACUGAAUUGUACAUCCACAAACUGAAUUGUCUUUCAAUGGGAGUAAAUUAAAGGGACGUAACUCUAAGAUUGGUCUAACAACCGCUCUGAAGAUGUCUACAUCAAAGUCAUUAUAUUUGGAUGGCAACCACAUGAAUUAUCUCCUUGCACAUGUUGAUACAUUUCUUUUCGACUGCGAUGGUACCUGUAACAUUCCUCAUCAGAUACAGGAGAAACAUUCAAUUCAUUGAUGGAGAUGCUGGUAGUUUGGUUCACAGUUUUCCCUUGUUUCACAACCAUAUAGGAAUAUCUAUCCUGACCAAGUUCUAACCCUAUAUCCUUUGAGAAUGUUGUAAUGAAGUCAAGGCUCUUUUUCUUAUCAAUCAUUUCUGUGGCGUAUAGCUUCAAGUUAUCUUCAAAGAAGCAGUGUGUAAUCUUUGUAUUUUUUUUCUCUAUGAACCAGUAAGAUACCCUUCAAACUUCCUCAACAUGAAUGACAAGUGGUUUAUUGAAAAUAUGGACAUCAUUGCAGGAGACUGUCUCUUUGGAAUAGACUUUUGUGAUACUAUAUUUUAUCUCUCAUUGUAUUUAACUUUAGAUGAAACGAGGUCAGUUAUGGCUUUGACUAUGUUCUCUGGAACUUUAGUGAGUCAAAGGACUCCUAGCAUCCUUGAAUGGGAAACAUAGUCAAAAGCUUUCUUAUAGUCCAACUACAUUGAAGUCAGGUUCCUCCUAUGCUGCCACACAUCUGACAUUACAGUUUUAUUUAUCAGCUAUUACUUAGUACAUAAAGCUUAAGUUAUUUUUUCAUGAAAUAUAUAAUUGAGGACAUUUUUCACCUGUAUUUAUCCCUAAUAAUUGCUGCAAUGAUCAUUAAGGUUGUACCUGGUGUUUAUUACAGUGGUAAUAGUUGCCUUAGCUUGUAAUGUAGUCCAGCUAACAGGCAAUAUAAUGUCUGUAGGAAUGUCUUUGACUGAAGUCUUCAUGGUAUUCUAACAUUGUUCACACUUUUGUUUAUACUGUUUGGCAUACAAUUUCAUCUCUUCUUUGGAUUAAGUUACAUUCAUUAACAUUCUUCCCAUAUUCAAGAAAUGUUUGUUGUUGGCAUUAUAUUUUUGCCAUAAAAUCUUUUACCAUUGGAAGCAGAUUGUCCUAGUAUGCUAUGCUCUUUUAUAAUGAUUAGCAGUUAUAUAAAUCAUUAUUGAGCUCAUAAUUUUGAAGAAAAUGCAUUUUAUAUUUACAGUUUCUUCUAUUGCUACAAUCUAUUGCUACAACUAAAAGAAAAUCUGUUUACUUUUUACAAUGUUAAUUUCUGUUUUGUAACUGUUGUUGUUGAUGCAGCACGUUCAGCCAUUUUAAGUUUGAGACAAAAAUUCAACUUGAAAUAACAGCACCUUCAGUCAAUUCAUUUGAAGAUUCAGCAGUUAUUUAACAGGGUUGAUAGUUGUGGAUUCAAAAUUGGACACAAUAUUCAAAGUUCUUUUUGAUGAAUCGUCUCCCACACCAAAUAUGCAACUUGUUGCUUUGUAUGUAUGUUCAUAUGCAUGCAUGCAUGCCUGCAUCCAUCAAUGCCUGCUUUCCUACCCACCUAUCUGUUUCAUUUGUUUUCUCUUUCUGUUCUAUUUUUAAUUAUUUGAAGCCUUCCUGUAAGGGAAAGAACUGUUUCUAACAAUGGUACAAAGUUCCAUAGUUGGAAUGUAGGUAACAAAAAUAAAUUUACAUUUUGAACUUGCAAAAA